CUACGGGGGGCUGCAGUGAGGAAUAUUGCACAAUGGGGGGAACCCUGAUGCAGCAACGCCGCGUGGAGGAUGACGCAUUUCGGUGUGUAAACUCCUUUUAUAUGUCAAGAAAAUGACGGUAGCAUAUGAAUAAGCACCGGCUAACUCCGUGCCAGCAGCCGCGGUAAUACGGAGGGUGCAAGCGUUACUCGGAAUCACUGGGCGUAAAGGACGCGUAGGCGGGCUUGUAAGUCAGGUGUGAAAUCCUACAGCUUAACUGUAGAACUGCACUUGAAACUACGAGCCUAGAGUAUGGGAGGGGGAGAUGGAAUUAGUGGUGUAGGGGUAAAAUCCGUAGAUAUCACUAGGAAUACCUAAAGCGAAGGCGAUCUCCUGGAACAUAACUGACGCUAAGGCGUGAAAGCGUGGGGAGCAAACAGGAUUAGAUACCCGAGUAGUC
rnacentral:rRNA from 1 species